rnacentral:rRNA from 1 species
AUGGGGAUGCGUGUCAUCUUCACCUUCCCCAUCGAACACACGCCAUCCGGCCUGCACGUCCAGCGGCCACCACCGCCUACUACCGCAGCAUCUAGUUCCGGGACCAUGAGGUGGGCGGAUUUGACCGGUGCACCAGCCCCAUGGAGGCCAUCCUCUGCCCGGACGCCGAGCAGAGCAUGUACUGCCAGCUGCUCUGCGGCCUGCUCCACCGCAACGCCAUGGACCACGUCGGCACCUCCUUCGCCAAUAGCCUCGUCCGAGCAAUCAGAUUCUUGGAGCACAACUAGGAGGAGAUUUUUCUCUGACAUCCGCACUGGCAGCCUCAGUGGUCGGAUAAUGCACGCUCCCCUAUGCGACGUCGUCGUCCAGCGGUACCUGCGUCGACCAGACCCGAUGCUGGCGGACGAGGUCGCGUUAGAAUGUGCCGCCAGUUCCUGGGACGGGAUUGUCGCCAGGCUAUGGCCGCGGGCACGGUGUGCCCUCACCAUUGUCACCAGUUCGAUGGUGCAGUACAUUUCGAUCCUCCAGAGCUACUGCGGUGGCCGAUUGUCGCGGGAGUAA